AUGCUCAUUUGUUUGGCUCAACUUCACCUAUCUUCCAUUUUUCAUCAAAAGAACAUGAAACAACAACCAUUUCCUUCAUUUUAAUUCAUGACUAAAUGCUCACAACACAACUAAAAACCAAAAUAUGCUUCAAGAGUUAAUGUAGAAUCAAGAAGAACUCAUGAACAUCAAGAUAGAAGCAAACUACCAUGAACUUACCUUCAAUUUUCUUCCCCAAGUGACCGAACAUUCAAGAGCUUUCUCCUC
rnacentral:lncRNA from 1 species